rnacentral:lncRNA from 1 species
UAUGAUAAUUGAAGCAAAUAAGUUAUAAUUAACAUUUAAUAAGUAUAGUAAGAACAAUUACAAUGUUAUGAGUUUUCUAGAAAUAUUGAAUUACUCUCAUUUGCAUAUAUUUGAUAAACCAGUUGAAGUUCAUGUUAUAAUUUACCAGUUCAUAAUAAUAAUCCACUGAAUAAUCCAACUGUAUGUCUUGCAUUUUUGUGAAGAUUCAAUUGUAGAAACUGUAGUAAAUCGUAGUAAAUUCCACGCACCUGUGCUUGAAUUUAUGAAUGAAAUGUAUUGACAUGCGCAGUAGAACCCAUGUGUCACUUGGGACGAUUGUUCAAUAAAAACACUAUUUUAACAUUGUGGCAACUGUUUUCACAUACUUCGUGUAAUUCCUUUUAGUAUUUGUAGUCAACGUCUUCAAUGUUUUGUAGAUGUUAAUGUUCAUUAUCCUUGAUAUUUAAAAUUUUGAUCCGCCGGUGACACACAUACUUUUUGCAAAUGUUG